rnacentral:lncRNA from 1 species
UUGUUAUGAAUUGCUUUGCUAUGUCUGAGUAGUUCAGUUAUUAGAUCCAGGGUUCAGAUAGGUUUGUGGGAUUAGCCCCAAACUAUAGAUCUGCCUUGUUGUGAUAUUCGUGAUAGAUUUGUAUUCAUUGCUUGUUUUAGCCUUGCUAACUAGAACUUGAUCAUAGGAUUGCAUACUCAAGCACCCUUGUUAUCCCAUCCUGACAUCUAUCUAUCAUACUAGGACUGCUAGAGAGGGCUAACCGCCAAUUUACUAUCUUAGUAGGGCAUAUCAUACUCGCGCAUAGG